rnacentral:tRNA from 4 species
GCCGGUGUAGCUCAAUUGGCAGAGCACUCGCCUUGUAAGCGAAAGGUUAGGGGUUCAAGUCCCCUCACCGGCUCCA